GUUAUCAUUUGUUCCUUCCACCACAAUUACUCAUUUCAGAACUGAGGUUCAUCACUCUGAGAAUGCCCCAGGGUAGGGAUUUUUCUCCAACAAGCCUAUAGGAAGACUUCGCUAGUUUGACCAAGUUACGUUUCAAAAAUGCUAAGUUUACCCAGCAGAGCUGAGUUCAGUAGCAGUUGAGUGGUUGUUUAACGUUCCUUAAAUUUAGUAGGGGAUUUGACUGAAGGGAACAGCCCCAGAGGUAGUGAUUUAAUUAAUUAAUUAAUUUGAAACCCCAACUAUGCCCCAUUAUGACCUGUACUGGGAUAGUGGAGCUUGAUAUUGAUAAGCAUUUUAUACCUUGCCAGUGAAUUGGAUCACAAGAGGUUGCUCAUGAGUUUUUGCUUACAUGUGUAGUAGGAGACUAGGAGCUCAAAAUGUCACGAAAAGCUAUCAGUAUUGUUCAUGGUGGUGGACGAAACUCUGGAUGCUAUAUUUGGAGAUGUUGAUAACAUUUCCCCAAGACUAGAUAUAUUAUCAACUCUUUAUUUCCCUUGGCACUACUUAAUGUGACACCAGUAUAUUUCCAGAAUGACAUUCCUGUCAAAUUAUUUUUAGAGAUGAAAAUAGGCUACAAAGUUCUUUGUAAACAUUAAUGCAAAACUCAACAGAGUAACCUGAAAUCAAAUGUGUGGCUAAACAAGCAUUUAUUCACAGUCGAACCACAACCAACCGGAAACUCCUUCCCUUAGCAAGAUUUAUUUGCAGCAACUACGCCCACGCACACACAAUUUUAUUUUUAACUCUAUUUUUUUUAAUUGAAAUAACUCAUGAAUAAAAUAAGCUGUCCUUGUGAAAAUUUGUAUGCAUUGAGCAGUCAAAGUGCACUACUUGCUGGUAUAAGACAAACCAUUAUAGUCUUUACAUAAAGGAAUAUAUUCAAUGGUAAGUAAAAAAUACACAUUACAAACAUCUGUAGUACAAAUUUGUAUCUAAAAACCAGUUACAGAACCUUGGUAUUGUUAAAUAGAGUAGACUUUAAGCUUUAAGAAAAUGCUAAAAUAUUUUUUGUCCCAUAUUAGAUAAAUGAAAUAUAAGUGGCAUAAAAUGUUAAUAAUUAUUCUGUACUAGACAAUUAUGACCCAAAAA